AACGAACGCUGGCGGCGUGCCUAACACAUGCAAGUCGAACGGGAGGGCGGGCUUCGGCCCGCUAGUACAGUGGCAGACGGGUGAGUAACACGUGGGUAACCUGCCCGGAGGUGUGGAACAACCAUCCGAAAGGAUGGCUAAUACCGCAUAAUGCCCCCAGGAUCUUCGGGUCUUGGGGCCAAAGCUAGCCUCUACAUGUAAGCUGGCGCCACCGGAGGGGCCCGCGGCCCAUUAGCUAGUUGGGAGGUAC
rnacentral:rRNA from 1 species